GGAGGAUGCCUUGGAUUCCAGAGGCGAUGAAGGACGCGUUAGGCUGCGAUAAGCCGUGGUGAGGUGCCUAAAAACCUUUGAUCCGCGGAUUUCCGAAUAGGACAACCUAUUAGAGCCCCUUCGGGGGAGGCGAACGAGGGGAACUGAAACAUCUAAGUACCCUUAGGAGAAGAAAACAAAAGUGAUUUCCUGAGUAGCGGCGAGCGAAAUGGAACUAGCCCAAACCAUUUUGAUUUCGGUCAAAGUGGGGUUGUAGGACUUUCAACAUCUGUAAUUAUACUGAACUGGAACACGUUGGGAAGCGUGGCAAUAUACGGUGAUAGCCCAGUACAGGUAAAGUAUGUUAUGGUAGAAAGACUCCUGAGUAGGGCGGGGCACGUG
rnacentral:rRNA from 13 species